rfam:Mucor circinelloides f. lusitanicus CBS 277.49 MTCCIscaffold_03, whole genome shotgun sequence.
GGGGCUAUGGCCCAAUGGAUAAGGCGUCUGACUACGAAUCAGGAGAUUCCAGGUUCGACCCCUGGUAGCCUCA